CCACCAUAUUGCUUUCAAUCACCCUGUGUUUUCAGACCAGAACACGAAGGAGAGCAGAGGAGACGAGAGGAAGCCACUUUAAACUAUUGAGAUGCAGCCUUUAGGCUCUCGUCUGUCACACCGUCAGAUCAGUGGUUGUUGAGGAAAGGAGAAAAGCCGAGGGCCUCCUGAGUGCUGUGACAGUGAUGGGUGAGGACACAGAGGAAGUUGGCACGGGGGCAGUCGCCCUGGAGAACACACACAGCCUUACAAGGACAAGGCAUGCUCCAACCAACUCCCAGAGUAUGACACUACUGGAGGAACCACCACUGAGGAUCAAACAAGGCCUUAAACGAUCUGUGUCCAGAUGAAACACACACACUCAUCACCAGAAGGGGAAUGGAGGAUACAGCACCAAAAUCUGGGUCAAUUUUUUGAAAGCGAGAGGAAGAUGGAGGGAGAGAAAGAGCCACCCUUAGAGAACAUCUCACAGAAAGAGACAGAGGGAAGGAACAAGAGGAAGAUAAAGAACAAGAUGUUCUAGAGAAGAAGAG